rnacentral:rRNA from 1 species
UUUAUUGGAGAGUUUGAUCCUGGCUCAGGAUGAACGCUGGCGGCGUGCCUAAUACAUGCAAGUCGAGCGAAUGGAUUAAGAGCUUGCUCUUAUGAAGUUAGCGGCGGACGGGUGAGUAACACGUGGGUAACCUGCCCAUAAGACUGGGAUAACUCCGGGAAACCGGGGCUAAUACCGGAUAACAUUUUGAAUCGCAUGGUUCGAAAUUGAAAGGCGGCUUCGGCUGUCACUUAUGGAUGGACCCGCGUCGCAUUAGCUAGUUGGUGAGGUAACGGCUCACCAAGGCAACGAUGCGUAGCCGACCUGAGAGGGUGAUCGGCCACACUGGGACUGAGACACGGCCCAGACUCCUACGGGAGGCAGCAGUAGGGAAUCUUCCGCAAUGGACGAAAGUCUGACGGAGCAACGCCGCGUGAGUGAUGAAGGCUUUCGGGUCGUAAAACUCUGUUGUUAGGGAAGAACAAGUG